GUGUAACCUUCUGACCUCCUUCAAGAGAGUUUCCUAAUGACACUUGAUAGAUUUCUACAUAAACAAAAGAUGAAGAAUGAUUGAGAAAUUAUUUCAUGAUAUUUGCUGCAAAGCACGUCUUUUUUCGGUUUAAAGUAUACAGUGUAUUAAAUAGACAAGUAAGGUUAUUUUGCACAAGGAUCCUGAACUUUGCGUAUCAUUGUCAUGUGCCACUUAUCCCCACAAAGUUAUUUGAUGUAGAAAACUCACCCCUAAAGAAUAAAAAAGAAGGGAAUAAAACAAGAUUACAAGGAUUUAAGUCAUAUAUACCGUCAGACUUCAAUCAUAACUACUUCUAAAAUCACACAUAUGAUUGGUUGAUAUUUGUUGACAGUGUAAAACUUUUUACAUUGACAGUAUAUCAAAAUUAAACUCAUACUCCAACUUGUGCUUUAUUUAUGUGCAUAUGAUUGUUCUCAUAAGAUUUCGUGCUUUCCGUAUACAGGUGAAGAUCCUAUUUUAGCUCAUAACAGAUAUCCAGAACUAUGGGCCAAAAUCAACAGAGAAAUUGUGGAAGAAUGGAAAAGUAAGUCCUUGGACAAGUCGAAGGAAGACGAAGAAGAUGGCUUGGUUUUCUUCAUGAGGGCUGGAUUUAGAGAUAGUCCUAAGUGGGGGAUGCUAUUUUGGGAAGGAGAUCAAAUGGUCAGUUGGCAAGCAAAUGAUGGAAUAAAGAGUUCUGUUGUUGGCUUACUUAGCAGUGGAAUUUCUGGCUAUGCCUUUAAUCACAGUGACAUUGGAGGUUAUUGUACAGUUAACUUACCUAUUGUUAAAUACCGAAGAAGUCAAGAAUUGCUUUUGCGUUGGAUGGAGCUUAAUUCUUUCACCACGGUCUUCCGCACUCACGAAGUAAGUAAAAUACAUGAAAUACUAUUUCAUUAUUUUUAAGUCUGAUAGUAACAAGCCACUGAUUCUUUGCCUGCAAGCAGGGAAACAAACCAUCAUGCAAUAGUCAGUUUUACUCAAAUGAACAAACACUGUCACACUUUGCGCGCUCCGCAAAAAUAUACACAGCAUGGAAAUUUUACCGAAUGCAACUAGUGAAGGUGAUUCUAAACUCUUUACACAAAUAUUUUAACCAAGUUCAAAGCAAACUCAGCAAGCUUAUAAAACGGUAAAAAAAAAAUUUGUAAACAGGAAGCAGCACAGAAAGGAUUGCCUGUAUGCCGGCACCUAUUUCUCCAUUACCCUAAUGAUGAACAUGUGCAUAACUUUAGUUAUCAACAGUUCUUGGUUGGUUCUGAGUUCCUAGUGGUUCCUGUUCUUGACAAAGGAAAGAAGAAAGUUAAAGCUUAUUUUCCAUUGGGAGAGAGUAGUAGUUGGCUACAUAUUUGGACAGGAAAAAUAUUUUCCAAACAAGGAAGUGAGUCAUGGAUAGAAGCUCCGAUAGGUUAUCCUUGUGUGUUUAUUAAGGUUGGUUCCAUUAUUGGAGAAACCUUUUUGAGUAACCUAAAAAAAUUUGGAAUUCUUUAAUGAAGCAUUCAUUGAAGAAGAUUGAAUCUCAACCAACUGAGUCUCGCAGAAGGAGUUAGACACUCACAACGAGGCGAACCAAUGUUUGGAUUUCGGCUGGGAGAAGUGUUCAUAUUAAGUGUCCACAACGCCUCAAAUAGGAUUACUUCCAAUGGAGGGAACCUAUAGUUUGUAAGUAAGUUUUCAAUUUAUGGUUGUAAAUCACUUGUAUAUCAUUGUAAUUAAAGCUAGUGUACAGAAAUAGGUGGAAGAAAUUGAUAUUCAAUUAUUUGGCACCACAAAGGGUUCAUGAACAAGAAAACAAUGUAUAGGAAGAUAAAAGUAACUUAAUUAUGUAUAUGAUGCUAUCUGACCUAUAAAGUGGUGUUGAGAGCAAGUGACUAAUAGUAUGUUUAGAAUCACGGUAGGUAUCUCGCCUAAUGCACGGCCACUCGAAUCAUGAGUUUCUAGCUACCCAAAACAUACGUUGAAAAGGCAUUUGGACGCAACGCAUCAAACUCUUUUAACACUUUAGAAUGUUCAGAAAACAAUGCAUGAGCACAAAAAGAUAGUGCAAUAAGCUGAGCUUACAAAAACCUUCAACUAUGAAAAAUGGUUGUGUUCAAAUUGAAAAGAACUAUAGCCAAUGGAUUUUUCUCUUCCACGUUGAAACAAAAGAAAU
rnacentral:lncRNA from 1 species